CCUCUAAAAAUACACACAAAGCUAUUUAAUAUAUAUCCAAAUGUGGUUUAAGUACCUCUUCCCCGAAGCGAACUAUCUUUUGACCCGUCUGAAUGAGCAGUUUAGGGUAACAGACCACUUCUUCACGGUCAACUCUGUGCAUAGCGUAUCGGGCUCGGAUUUGGGGAUCCAUCAUCCCGUUGUCGAUGGCGCUGUCCUGCUCUUCCGGCGUCAUUCUCUCCCAGGACGAGCCGUGCUUGGCUUUAAUUUUCUCCCUCUCCUGCAUUAUUUUCUUUGCCAUGGAGUUGAUGGAGGAGAAGUACUCGAACUUCUUUUCCUCCAUCCUGUGGGCGUCCAGCCCCGCCAUGGUUGCGGCGGCCAUCUUUAAGCUGCUACAACCAGCUGUUGUUAUUGUGAGGAAAAAGGAAGCCGGUGUUCAGCGCAGUGUGGGCGGGACGAAAAUGAUGUUCGGGUCGUGUGUGUUUAUGGCGCCAUCUUGUGGUCUCUUCCAACAACAACGUUUAAAAAACAACGUUGCUGCUUGCUGCAACAGAAAACUGCACCAGGAGAGCGUUGAGGAGGUGAAAGUGAACAAAAACAGUCAAGUCACACCGGGACAGAAACUUGCUAGAAAGCUCUGUAAAGCCUCUUUCACAUUGUCAUUUUCACAGUAUCAUCUGAAACAUUGCUAUAGAAAAAUAGUAUAUAAAAUAGGAUCAAAAAUUAA